rnacentral:sRNA from 1 species
UUUGAUUUUAUGAACAAACAAAUUAAAAUCUAAUCUCAAACCUAUAUAACGAGGUUACGCUUCACAGAUAGAGUAACACUUAAACGUUCACACAUAUAUAAAAAUAAAUCUUCUCCAACAAUUUCUCUAUGUCUUAAAUUAAAUCUCGAGAGUAUCGUAAAAACUAUGUUCCUUUGAGUGGUAAGAAACCAGUUUAUAGAGGUUGUAUCAUGGGAUCCUUGAAUCACAUAAAAACUGUCACACUACGGGUGAUUCAAAAGUUAAGGAAAGAGUUCAUCAACUCGACUUCUCUCAUAUCUUUCCUUAAAAAAUUUAUGAUUUCGAUUUCAAUUAUUUUUACGUUUUGCUAAUUUUAGCUCACACUUCUCAACCGCUCCACCACCAUACUGAGCUACACCGAACUCAUAUAUUGUGUUUUUUUUUCUCUUCUAAAUGAGAAAAUCAACAUGAAUCAUAAGAAUCACGUUUAUAACAUAGA